CCGAGGCCCGGCUCCUGGCACCGCCCUCCGAGGAGUGCUGUCCUGCGCGCUGCAGCCAGUCUGCGAGGCUAAGCUGUUCAUUGGACACCUGCUAUAUGUCAAGUCCUGGGGAUUCAGAGAGGAAAGAGCACACCCUUUUCUCAGUGAUGAAGCAGACACUUCAAUCGGCAAUUUAUCAAAGACAGGAGUCUUGGAAACCCCAGAUAAGGGGGGAAGUGAAGACUAAACUUUAGCUAUGCCCCUUUUGUUCCAAGUUUCCUCCUGAGGGGCUUAGAGAAAAUGACUUCCCCUAACCAGUUGACAUUUUUCUACCGACUCAAAAUUUGAAAUUUUUAAAUAAAGCUUCUCUUCCUUAAUCCAUUGCAAAUCAGAAGAUGUUUAAAUCUUUUUCUUUUCUUUUGAGAUUAAGUCUCACUCUGUUGCCCAAGCUGGAGUGC